rnacentral:rRNA from 1 species
CACGUAGGGCGCAAGCGUUGUCCGGAAUUAUUGGGCGUUAAAGAGCUCGUAGGUGGUUUGUUACGUCUGCUGUGAAAACCUAGGGCUUAACCCUGGGCUUGCAGUGGAUACGGGCAGACUAGAGGUAGGUAGGGGAGAAUGGAAUUCCUGGUGUAGCGGUGAAAUGCGCAGAUAUCAGGAGGAACACCGGUGGCGAAGGCGGUUCUCUGGGCCUUACCUGACACUGAGGAGCGAAAGCGUGGGGAGCGAACAGG